rnacentral:rRNA from 1 species
UACGUAGGGUCCAAGCGUUUGUCCGGAUUUAUUGGGCGUAAAGAGCUCGUAGGCGGUUCCGUAAGUCGGAUGUGAAAACUCGGGGCUCAACCCCGAGACGCCAUCCGAUACUGCGGUGACUUGAGUCUGGUAGGGGAACACGGAAUUCCUGGUGUAGCGGUGAAAUGCGCAGAUAUCAGGAGGAACACCGAUGGCGAAGGCAGUGUUCUGGGCCAGUGACUGACGUGGAGGAGCGAAAGCCGUGGGGAGCAAACAGG